ensembl:scaRNA small Cajal body-specific RNA 14
GUGGCGUUUUUUUCUGUGACUCUGGCACUGAGCAGUGUGCUGCAGCCACCACGAUGCCACACAGAGUGAGGCUGGUUCCUGCCGACAGGGCCUGUAAAGAUAUUGGCUCCCCUGUGCGAUGGUUCCAUACACA